rnacentral:rRNA from 1 species
UACGUAGGUUGCAAGCGUUGUCCGGAUUUACUGGGCGUAAAGGGCGCGCAGGCGGCACUACAAGUACUGGGUGAAAUCUCCUUGCUCAACGGGGAGGGUGCUUAGUAGACUGUAGAGCUAGAGGUGGGUAGAGGGUGGUGGAAUUGCUGGUGUAGCGGGGAAAUGCGUAGAGAUCGGAAAGAACACCAACGGCGAAAGCACUCUGCUGGGCCGACACUGACACUGAGAGACGAAAGCUAGGGGAGCGAAUGGG